rnacentral:rRNA from 1 species
GACGAACGCUGGCGGCGUGCCUAAUACAUGCAAGUAGAACGCUGAAGGAGGAGCUUGCUUCUCUGGAUGAGUUGCGAACGGGUGAGUAACGCGUAGGUAACCUGCCUGGUAGCGGGGGAUAACUAUUGGAAACGAUAGCUAAUACCGCAUAAUAGUAGAUGUUGCAUGACAUUUGCUUAAAAGGUGCAAUUGCAUCACUACCAGAUGGACCUGCGUUGUAUUAGCUAGUUGGUGAGGUAACGGAGCACCAAGGCGACGAUACAUAGCCGACCUGAGAGGGUGGUCGGCCACACUGGGACGGAGACACGGCCCAGACUGCUUCGGGAGGCAGCAGUAGGGAAUCUUCGGCAAUGGACGGAAGACUGACCGAGCAACGCCGCGUGAGUGAAGAAGGUCUUCGGGUCGUAAAGCUCUGUUGUAAGAGAAGAACGAGUGUUAGAGUGGAAAGUUCACACUGUGACGGUAUCUGACCAGAAAGGGACGGCUAACUACGUG